rnacentral:rRNA from 1 species
UCCCAGACUCCUACGGGAGGCAGCAGUGGGGAAUAUUGCACAAUGGGGGAAACCCUGAUGCAGCGACGCCGCGUGAGCGAAGAAGUAUUUCGGUAUGUAAAGCUCUAUCAGCAGGGAAGAAAUUGACGGUACCUGAGUAAGAAGCUCCGGCUAAAUACGUGCCAGCAGCCGCGGUAAUACGUAUGGAGCAAGCGUUAUCCGGAUUUACUGGGUGUAAAGGGAGCGUAGGCGGCCUGCCAAGUCUGAUGUGAAAUGCCGGGGCUCAACCCCGGGGCUGCAUUGGAAACUGGCAGGCUGGAGUGUCGGAGAGGCAGGCGGAAUUCCUAGUGUAGCGGUGAAAUGCGUAGAUAUUGGGAGGAACACCGGUGGCGAAGGCGGCCUGCUGGACAUUAACUGACGCUGAGGCGCGAAAGCGUGGGGAGCAAACAGGAUUAGAUACCCGGGUAA